rnacentral:ncRNA from 2 species
UUAUCUUCUGGAAGCUAUGACCCGAAGGGCCUCACAGUGGUCACUUGGUCCUUCGACGAGCGAAUAGUGAAACCGGCCAGAUGGAUG